UACGUAGGGGGCGAGCGUUGUCCGGAAUACUGGGCGUAAAGCGUGCGCAGGCGGCGCGUUAAGACAGGUGUGAAAGCCCCGAGCUUAACUUGGGAAUUGCGCUUGUGACUGGCGUGCUGGAGUGUGGCAGAGGGAGGUGGAAUUCCACGUGUAGCAGUGAAAUGCGUAGAGAUGUGGAGGAACACCGAUGGCGAAGGCAGCCUCCUGGGCCAGCACUGACGCUCAUGCACGAAAGCGUGGGGAGCAAACAGG
rnacentral:rRNA from 1 species